GCACAAGCGGUGGAGCAUGUGGUUUAAUUCGAUGCAACGCGAAGAACCUUACCUGGUCUUGACAUAGUAAGAACUUUCCAGAGAUGGAUUGGUGCCUUCGGGAACUUACAUACAGGUGCUGCAUGGCUGUCGUCAGCUCGUGUCGUGAGAUGUUGGGUUAAGUCCCGCAACGAGCGCAACCCUUGUCUUAUGUUGCCAGCACGUUAUGGUGGGGACUCGUGAGAGACUGCCGGGGUCAACUCGGAGGAAGGUGGGGAUGACGUCAAAUCAUCAUGCCCCUUAUGUCCAGGGCUUCACACAUGCUACAAUGGCCGGUACAGAGGGCUGCGAUGCCGUGAGGCGGAGCGAAUCUCUUAAAGCCGGUCUCAGUUCGGAUUGGGGUCUGCAACUCGACCCCAUGAAGUCGGAGUCGCUAGUAAUCGCAGAUCAGCAACGCUGCGGUGAAUACGUUCCCGGGC
rnacentral:rRNA from 1 species